CAGUAGCCGCGGUAAUACGGAGGGAGCUAGCGUUAUUCGGAAUUACUGGGCGUAAAGCGCACGUAGGCGGCUUUGUAAGUUAGAGGUGAAAGCCUGGAGCUCAACUCCAGAAUUGCCUUUAAGACUGCAUCGCUCGAAUCCAGGAGAGGUGAGUGGAAUUCCGAGUGUAGAGGUGAAAUUCGUAGAUAUUCGGAAGAACACCAGUGGCGAAGGCGGCUCACUGGACUGGUAUUGACGCUGAGGUGCGAAAGCGUGGGGAGCAAACAGGAUUAGAGACCCCGGUAGUCCCUGUCUCUUAUAC
rnacentral:rRNA from 1 species